rnacentral:rRNA from 1 species
AUGGCUGUGAGCUUGAAAACAAUCCCAGAAAUACAGAAGGUAUACAAGCGGAGAGUGCGCCGGCAGGUCCCUGUGAUACCUGACGAGAUUGUCUUUGAGAUUCUUGUCCGGCUGCCUGUUAAAGCUAUCAUAAGGUUCAAGUCCGUCAACAAGACUUGGCAUGCUAUCAUCUCUCAUCCAUGCUUCAUCGGUUCACAUCUCCAACAAUCUGCCAAGAACCAAGAACGUAAGCCUUCCUUCCUCAUCACCCCACAUAUCCUGGACAAGGUGAUCGAUAGCGAGGCCUGGCCAACCACCUUUUCCAACUACAUCCCCUUCUACUCAUGGCAAGAGGGCCAGGACAAUGCGUGCCUUGUUCACUCAACAACCUUCCGUGGCGAGUUUGGGUCAGUUCACAACAUGGUGCACUGCGACGGGCUUGUAGUGCUCCUGACCAACACCAAGGUGUUUGUCUUCAACCCAGCAAUACAUGAUGUCCUUAAGCUGCGUAAUGGCCAAAAGGAUGAGUGGCAAUUCCCGACUGUCGGUUUGGGCUUUGACCCACGCACGAGCAAGUACAAGGUUGCUCGCUUCUUUUACCGUUCAAUAAAUUUUUCUACAAGGACUUAUAGUGUGGGAAUGGAAAUCUUUACUAUCGGUGGUGAUGAUAACUCCUGGCGGAGUGUUGCGGAGGAUCCACCGUUGCCAAUUGAGCCGGGGACUGUCACACACUUUAAGGGCUCUUUGUAUUUGCUUGUAUGGGAUGAACUCGUUGAAAGGUGCCCACAAGGUGUUCUUCGCUUCAGUUUAGAAGAUGAAACAUUUAGUUUCAUAUGCCAUCCUCAACUUCAGUCAUGCAAAGGGGAGCGGCUCAACUUUAUUGAGCUAGGUGGAGAACUAUGCCUUGCUCAAUGCCUUGAUGGGAAACAAGUAAUAUGGAUGCUGCACUCUGUCGACGGUCAUGAAUGGAUUCAACACCGUGUUAUUAUCUUACCUAAGCCAGAGCUGUACAAAACUUUAUCGGUCCUUCCUAGAGAUGUUUUGCUUAUUCGCAGUGGUAAUUGUCUUUACCACUAUGCUGAUGCCCGUCGAGAUGCAAGGGAAGUGGGUCGUCUGGAUCAGCUGAGGUAUAAGAAUCCUAGAGUUGGGUCCUUUGAUUAUGUUGGUCUGGAUACCUUCAUCUUCGACAUGUUUUCAUACACGGAGAGUCUUCAUCCAGUGACAAAGCAAGGCAAACAGAGAAUCUAUAAGGAUGGAAAUGAAGCAUUAGAUGGAUGA